rnacentral:rRNA from 1 species
CAAGUCGUCGAGAAAGUGGAGCAAUCCAUGAGUAAAGUGGCGACCGGGUGAGUAACACGUGACUACCUACCUUCUAGUGGGGGAUAACUCCGGGAAACCGGAGCUAAUACCGCAUAACAUCGCAAGAUCAAAGCAGCAAUGCGCUGGAAGAGGGGGUCGCGGCUGAUUAGCUAGUUGGUAGGGUAAUGGCCUACCAAGGCAAAGAUCGGUAUCCGGCCUGAGAGGGCGCACGGACACACUGGAACUGAAACACGGUCCAGACUCCUACGGGAGGCAGCAGUGGGGAAUUUUGCGCAAUGGGGGAAACCCUGACGCAGCAACGCCGCGUGGAGGAUGAAGUCCCUUGGGACGUAAACUCCUUUCGACCAAGACGAUAAUGACGGUACUGGUGGAAGAAGCACCGGCUAACUCUGUGCCAGCAGCCGCGGUAAUACAGAGGGUGCGAGCGUUGUUCGGAAUUAUUGGGCGUAAAGGGCGCGUAGGCGGCGCCACAAGUCACUUGUGAAAACUCUGGGCUCAACUCAGAGCCUGCAAGCGAAACUGUGGUGCUGGAGUAUGGGAGAGGUGCGUGGAAUUCCCGGUGUAGCGGUGAAAUGCGUAGAUAUCGGGAGGAACACCUGUGGCGAAAGCGGCGCACUGGACCAUAACUGACGCUGAGGCGCGAAAGCUAGGGGAGCAAACAGGAUUAGAUACCCUGGUAGUCCUAGCCCUAGACGAUGAUUGCUUGGUGUGAUCGGUACCCAAUCCGAUCGUGCCGAAGCUAACGCGAUAAGCAAUCCGCCUGGGGAGUACGGUCGCAAGACUGAAACUCAAAGGAAUUGACGGGGGCCCGCACAAGCGGUGGA